CGAGUUAACCAGACAAUCGCUGCUUGCUUCUAGCAAGGGGAGGAAAGUCCGGGCUCCAAAGAGCAGGGUGCCAGAUAACGUCUGGGCGGCGUAAGCCGACGACAAGUGCAGCAGAGAGAAGACCGCCUAAGCACGCAAGUGCCGGUAAGGGUGAAAGGGUGCGGUAAGAGCGCACCGGGCCACUGGUAACAGCUGGCAGCAGGGUAAACUCCACCCGGAGCAAGACCAAAUAGGAACUCGUACGGCGUGGCUCGCGUUGAGUUCGGGUAGGUUGCUUGAGCCUUAGAGCGAUUUAAGGCCUAGACGAAUGAUUGUCCACGACAGAACCCGGCUUACCGGUUAACUCCCUCU
rnacentral:RNase_P_RNA from 1 species